AAUAAUGGGAGCAGGAAAUAAAAGAAAAUUUGAUCUUGAAGGAGGGGAAAGUGUAUGUUGUGGAAGCUGUUAUUGUACAAAGACGCAAAGAUGUUUUUUCUGUUCAUUACUGUGGAUUCCGAUAAUGGUAAAAAUGCAGUGGAAAUAAGUAUAGUUUUUGUUUCUUAUUUUAACUGCAAACUAGACA